AGCGUCUGGAAAGGCGCGCGAUACAGGGUGACAGCCCCGUACACAAAAAUGCACAUGCUGUGAGCUCGAUGAGUAGGGCGGGACACGUGGUAUCCUGUCUGAAUAUGGGGGGACCAUCCUCCAAGGCUAAAUACUCCUGACUGACCGAUAGUGAACCAGUACCGUGAGGGAAAGGCGAAAAGAACCCCGGCGAGGGGAGUGAAAAAGAACCUGAAACCGUGUACGUACAAGCAGUGGGAGCACGCUUAGGCGUGUGACUGCGUACCUUUUGUAUAAUGGGUCAGCGACUUAUAUUCUGUAGCAAGGUUAACCGAAUAGGGGAGCCGAAGGGAAACCGAGUCUUAACUGGGCGUUAAGUUGCAGGGUAUAGACCCGAAACCCGGUGAUCUAGCCAUGGGCAGGUUGAAGGUUGGGUAACACUAACUGGAGGACCGAACCGACUAAUGUUGAAAAAUUAGCGGAUGACUUGUGGCUGGGGGUGAAAGGCCAAUCAAACCGGGAGAUAGCUGGUUCUCCCCGAAAGCUAUUUAGGUAGCGCCUCGUGAAUUCAUCUCCGGGGGUAGAGCACUGUUUCGGCAAGGGGGUCAUCCCGACUUACCAACCCGAUGCAAACUGCGAAUACCGGAGAAUGUUAUCACGGGAGACACACGGCGGGUGCUAACGUCCGUCGUGAAGAGGGAAACAACCCAGACCGCCAGCUAAGGUCCCAAAGUCAUGGUUAAGUGGGAAACGAUGUGGGAAGGCCCAGACAGCCAGGAUGUUGGCUUAGAAGCAGCCAUCAUUUAAAGAAAGCGUAAUAGCUCACUGGUCGAGUCGGCCUGCGCGGAAGAUGUAACGGGGCUAAACCAUGCAC
rnacentral:rRNA from 1 species